rnacentral:rRNA from 1 species
GACGAACGCUGGCGGCGUGCUUAACACAUGCAAGUCGAACGGAAAGGCCCUGCUUUUGUGGGGUGCUCGAGUGGCGAACGGGUGAGUAACACGUGAGUAACCUCCCCUUGACUUUGGGAUAACUUCAGGAAACUGGGGCUAAUACCGGAUAGGAGCUCCUGCUGCAUGGGGGGGGUUGGAAAGUUUCGGCGGUUGGGGAUGGACUCGCGGCUUAUCAGCUUGUUGGUGGGGUAGUGGCUUACCAAGGCUUUGACGGGUAGCCGGCCUGAGAGGGUGACCGGCCACAUUGGGACUGAGAUACGGACCAGACUCCUACGGGAGGCAGAAGUGGGGAAUAUUGCACAAUGGGCGGAAGCCUGAUGCAGCAACGCCGCGUGCGGGAUGACGGCCUUCGGGUUGUAAACCGCUUUCGCAUGUGACGAAGCGUGAGUGACGGUAAUGGGUAAAGAAGCACCGGCUAACUACGUG